CUAAUGGCUGAACCAGCAACUUGGAGGAAUGUAUAGCUACGGCUAAUUGUGUAUAACUACACGAUAUCGACUCUGUCGAAUAAAAUUCUGGGUAAAUUAUGAUGAUGACAUUUUUUACCUAUGUGUCUUGACCAAAUUGUGUGCCAGCAGUCGCGGUAAUACAUAGAAGACUAGUGUUAUUCAUCUUUAAUAGGUUUAAAGGGUACCUAGACGGUAGAUCAAGCCCUAGACGGGACUAAUUUGCUAGAGUUACUUAUGAGGGGGCUUUAAAGUACUAAUGGUGUAGAGAUAAAAUUUUGUAAUACCAUUUUUCGUAAAGAAAAAUUAUGGCACUGGUAAAGGUGAAAGCAUCCCCCUAUGUGA
rnacentral:rRNA from 1 species